AGCAGUAGCCGCGGUAAUACGUAGGCCGCAAGCGUUGUCCGGAAUUAUUGGGCGUAAAGAGCUCGUAGGCGGUCUGUUGCGUCUGGUGUGAAAUCCCGAGGCUCAACCUCGGGCUUGCAUCGGGUACGGGCAGACUAGAGUGCGGUAGGGGAGACUGGAAUUCCUGGUGUAGCGGUGGAAUGCGCAGAUAUCAGGAGGAACACCGAUGGCGAAGGCAGGUCUCUGGGCCGCAACUGACGCUGAGGAGCGAAAGCAUGGGGAGCGAACAGGAUUAGAUACCCCCGUAGUCCCUGUCUCUUAUAC
rnacentral:rRNA from 1 species